GAGUUUGAUCGUGGCUCAGAUUGAACGCUGGCGGCAUGCCUUACACAUGCAAGUCGAACGGCAGCACGGGAGCUUGCUCCUGGUGGCGAGUGGCGAACGGGUGAGUAAUGCAUCGGAACGUAUCCUGGAGUGGGGGAUAACGUAGCGAAAGUUACGCUAAUACCGCAUAUUCUGUGAGCAGGAAAGCGGGGGACCUUCGGGCCUCGCGCUCUUGGAGCGGCCGAUGUCGGAUUAGCUAGUUGGUGAGGUAAAGGCUCACCAAGGCGACGAUCCGUAGCAGGUCUGAGAGGAUGAUCUGCCACACUGGAACUGAGGACACGGUCCAGACUCCUACGGGAGGCAGCAGUGGGGAAUUUGGACAAUGGGGGCAACCCUGAUCCAGCCAUGCCGCGUGAGUGAAGAAGGCC
rnacentral:rRNA from 1 species